CUAAAAAAAUAACUUAUUUUUUUUCAGAAACCACACAAAUUGAAGAUCCAAGAAAACAAUGGAGAGGGGAACAGGAGAAAAUGCUCAAGGACUAUCUCUCAGUGGCUCAAGAUGCCCUCAGGACGCAGAAGGAGCUGUACCACGUGAAGGAGCAAAGACUGGCUUUGGCCCUGGAUGAAUAUGUACGAUUAAAUGAUGCCUAUAAGGAGAAGUCAAGUUCUCACACAAGCUUGUUCUCAGGAUCUUCAUCUAGUACUAAAUAUGAUCCUGAUAUUUUAAAAGCUGAGAUCUCCACGACGCGAUUAAGGGUUAAAAAGCUGAAGAGGGAACUCUCGCAGAUGAAGCAAGAAUUGCUCUAUAAAGAACAAGGCUUUGAAACAUUGCAACAAAUUGAUAAAAAAAUGUCUGGAGGCCAGAGUGGCUAUGAACUUAGUGAAGCCAAAGCCAUUCUAACCGAACUGAAAUCUAUCAGAAAGGCUAUCAGCUCAGGAGAAAAAGAAAAACAAGAUCUGAUGCAGAGUCUUGCUAAGCUGCAGGAGCGGUUUCAUUUGGAUCAGAGCAUUGGCAGAUCUGAGCCAGACUUGAGAUCCAGUCCUGUGAACUCUCAUUUCUCUCUCUCCAGACAGACCCUUGAUGCGGGGUCACAAACAAGCAUUUCCGGAGAUAUCGGAGUGAGAAGUAGAUCAAAUUUAGCUGAAAAGGUCAGGCUGAGCCUACAGUAUGAAGAAGCCAAAAGAAGCAUGGCCAACUUAAAAAUCGAAUUGUCAAAAUUGGACAGUGAGGCCUGGCCUGGGGCACUGGAUAUUGAGAAGGAGAAGCUGAUGCUGAUUCAUGAAAAAGAAGAACUUUUGAAAGAGCUUCAGUUCGUCACUCCACAAAAGCGCACUCGCGAUGAAUUGGAGCGCCUGGAAGCCGAACGCCAGCGACUGGAGGAGGAGCUGCUGUCAGUGAGGGGUGCGCCCAGCCAAGCUUUGGCUGAGAGAUUGAAAUUGGAAGAACGAAGAAAAGAGCUACUACAGAAACUUGAAGAAACUACUAAGUUAACGACUUACCUGCAUUCACAACUAAAAAGCCUCUCGGCCAGCACCCUGUCCAUGUCAUCUGGUAGCAGCCUGGGUUCCCUAGCCUCCAGUCGAGGGUCUCUGAACACUUCCAGCAGAGGGUCACUCAAUUCCCUCAGUUCCAGCGAGCUCUAUUACACCAGUCAGGGCGACCAGAUAGACGCGGAUUAUCAGUAUAAACUGGACUUCCUUCUGCAAGAAAAGGGUGGUUACAUUCCUUCCGGACCCAUCACCACCAUCCAUGAAAACGAAGUGGUCAAGUCCCCCAGCCAACCAGGCCAGAGUGGGCCCUGCGGGGCGGCAGCCGCAGCGGCAGGCCACACUCCCCCACUGACCGAGGCCCCCAAGUCUGUGACGUCCCUGUCCUCAAGGUCCUCCCUUUCCUCCCUGUCCCCUCCUGGCUCUCCCUUGGUUUUAGAAGGCACGUUUCCCAUGUCUUCUCACGACGUCCCUCUCCAUCAGUUCACUGCUGACUUUGAAGACUGUGAAUUGAGUAGCCAUUUUGCAGACAUUGGCCUCGGUGAAAAUCAGAUAUUGCUGGAUCCUGACUCCGGAGGCGCGUCCCAGUCUCUUUUAGAGGAUAAAGACCUCCACGAGUGUGCUAGGGAGCCAUUCUACGAAGGAACUGCAGAUGUGGAAAAAUCAUUACCAAAAAGAAGAGUACUCCACUUGCUUGGGGAGAAAAGCUCUUGUGUGUCCGCUGCUGUAUCUGACGAGUCUGUGGCUGGAGACAGUGGGGUCUACGAAGCCUUCGUGAAACAAAAGCCUGGAAUGUGUCCAGGGUUGCGGUACACCCCAGGGAGGCUCAGGAAAGUUGGACAUCAGAAAGCCUUCCCCCUAAAGUCUCAAAGGCAGACUCCUCUUGACAGGCCUAGUGAAGUCGAAGAUGUUACAUACAGUGAAGAAGAUGCUGCCAUCGUGGAGACCGCCCAGGUGCAGAUCGGACUCAGAUGUGAUGCAAAAAGGUCAAGUUUCAUGGUGAUUAUAGCACAACUCCGAAAUCUUCAUGCCUUCCUGAUACCUCAUACUUCAAAAGUGUAUUUUAGGGUCGCUCUACUUCCCUCCUCAACUGAUGUCAGCUGUCUAUUUCGAACAAAAGUCCAUCCAGCCACGGAAUCCAUCUUAUUCAGUGAUAUGUUCAGAGUGGCCAUUUCCCAGACAGCCUUACAGCAGAAGACACUGAGAGUAGACCUUUGCUGUGUUAGUAAACAACGAAGGGAAGAAUGCCUGGCUGGAACUCAAAUCAGUCUGGCAGAUUUACCAUUUUCCAAUGAGGUUUUCACUCUGUGGUAUAACUUGCUUCCCUCUAAGCAAAUGCCUUCCAAAAAGAAUGAAGAAGAAAAUGAGGAUUCUGUAUUUCAACCAAACCAGCCAUUAGUAGAUCCUAUAGACUUGGAUGCAGUGUCAGCCUUACUUGCAAGAACAUCAGCUGAGCUGUUGGCCGUGGAACAAGAAUUAGCACAAGAAGUAGAAGAACCUGGGCAGGGAGAAGAGCAAAGGCGUCCAGAUGGAGACUGGUUAACAAUGCUGAGAGAGGCCUCAGAUGAGAUUGUGGUUGAAGAAGAGGCUGAAGUUACUUUGCCAGAGGGCAGCAGCCAUGCAGAAGACCUACAUUCAUGCCCGCGUAUGCCUGAGAUGAGUGAAGACACAAGUAGGAAGGAAAGCAACUGUGUCAAAGACCUUGGAAGUCAGCCACCUUCUGGAAUACCCACUUUGGUUGAUAAAGAGACAAAUACCGAUGAGGCAGAUAAUGCCAGCAUGGCAGUUCGCCCCAAAGACCGCGGCGGGCUGAGCGCUCGGCAGCGUCCCUUCGUGAGGAGCAGCGUGAUUGUGCGCUCCCAGACCUUCUCUCCCGGAGAGCGGAACCAGUAUAUCUGCCGGUUAAAUCGAAGUGACAGUGACAGUUCGACCCUGGCUAAAAAAUCACUGUUUGUAAGAAACUCCACUGAACGGCGCAGUUUGCGGGUCAAAAGGACGGUUUGCCAGCCUGUCCUUAGAAGAACAGCACAAGAAUGCCCGGUGCGCACAUCUCUAGACUUAGAACUGGAUCUUCAGGCAUCUCUAACCCGGCAGAGUCGCCUCAAUGAUGAGCUGCAGGCCCUGAGGGGCUUGAGGCAAAAGCUGGAAGAACUGAAAGCUCAGGGAGAGACGGACCUUCCACCUGGUGUGCUGGAAGAUGAGAGAUUCCAGAAGCUCCUGAAAGAAGCCGAGAAGCAGGCCGAACAGUCAAAAGAAGAGCAGAAGCAAGGUUUGAAUGCGGAGAAAUUGAUGAGGCAGGUCUCCAAGGAUGUGUGCCGGCUCCGGGAACAGAGCCGAAAGGUACCUCGGCAGGUGCAGUCCUUCAGACUCCACUGGCCACAGUCCUGACUCCACUAAAGCCUGUCUCUCAAGGAACCCAGGGUGUCCUCAGCUCUCAGAAGCAAGUAGCGCAUCUCAGUGACACAUACAAGAAGGGAGAAGAUCGCCUACUUCACCAGAGCGAAGAUAAGCAUCCCGUCCCUGCCGGCUGAUGACGUGUGAUUACACCUCUGAAGACAUGAUUUUUUUCACCUGUUUAUUUCUUAGGGUGGGCAAAAGACUGAACGUGGUUGUGUUUGGGGUGGGGGAUUGUACUAUAACUGUCAACUCUUAAAGAGCUUUUAUUUCACAUCAGAUUUUCAAAAUGUUAAUUUGUAAAGUACCUUGAAUAUAAUCCUUAUAUGUUUUAAAAAGCAAAAAAAUCAGAUAACCAAAAUGGGCUGAUCUGGUACACAAAUGUUGUCCAGCAUACGUGUAUGGCCAAUGGGCUUUAUUUUGUAAAAAUGGAAUCGAGGCAGUACCCAGUGUAUAUCCUAUUGAACUGACGGUUGAGAAAUAACUCACUUUAGCAGAAGGUGGUUUUUGCUUUUCCUCUGUUUUCUUGUGAGUAGGUUGUGAACAUGGCAACAGUGCCAUGUGACGUUUUUGUGCUACAGAGUGGCUCUUCAUUUAGAAGUUAAGCGUGAGCAGAAGCUCCAGUGCAGAGUUCCAGGGCCACCUGAAGCAGGCGCUGUGUUCAUUUCUGUCACCUACGUUGGAACACUUUAUCUUAACAGUUUGCUUUUCGUCUUUUUCUAUUUGUCUAAAGAAGACAAAAACAAAAUGCUGAGUUCAAGGACAUAAGAAUGCCAAGGAGCAGUCCUCCUGGCUACACUGCAGAUCUUGUGACUUAUGGCAUUAAGGGUAGGGAGAUGAGAGGAAAAAGCCAGGGACCCUGCAGCACACUAAAAUAAACAGCAGUGAACAGCUGCUGCUUCUAACUCAGCCUCAAUUAGGCUAAGUGUUCCAAGGUGAGUUUCUGGCGUGCUCCAGAAUGUUUCGUCCUCAGUGUGAGGAUGGUGUCAUGUAGAAGAACGUGGUGGCCCGUGUUCUAAGGUGACGCGGAAGGAAACACAUCAGCACUCGUUCGGUGAAACCAGAAACAGAGGAAAGCGUCUCUUGAUUGAAUCAAAGUUGCCAAAAAAUCUUGUGGCCCCUUUAUUAAAAAGAUUUCUAACAUUUACCAGCGGUUACUUUGCAGCUCUCAUUGAGGGGAUCCCAUCUGUAGUUUAUGGUAAGGAGUUUGGAGGCAAAGAGAAGAGUGUGUCUGUGAGAUUAUUAAUUCGAAGUAUAGGCUGAGUCAUUUGUUUUUAAAAAAAAACCAUUCUAGAUGAAUGAGUUUAGAGGUGUGAAUUGACUAAAGCAUCUUCCAAGGUAGAAUUUUAGCUUACCCAACCCAAGCACUUCUCAAAAGAAACAAAUCCCCAGUGUAGCUCUGCCAGCCUAAAGGGUUUUAAAAUAAAUAGUUUUAUGCAAUUUAAAUCAUACUCAAUCUGUAAGACUGGAAGAGGCAGUUUUUGGUUAGCCAUCUUAUAUAGCAAACUAAAUCAAUUUUAUUUUUUAGAAAUGCCAAAAUCAUCUUAAAGGAAUGGGCCCCUUUAAAGAAAACACACACACAAGUUCUAUUUCUAAGCUAGAAUCCUCAUUAGCAAGAAUUUUUAUUGUCAUGAAAAUAAUUAUACAUAUUUUGGAAAUUUCAUUUUAUCAGAAUCAAAAUUCAAAUUAAGCAGUUUAUGAGCCUAGAACUCUAAUUAUUUUUUUCUAAGUGUCCCACCACUUAUAUACAAAUGUCUUAGAAGCUAUAACUGGACGUGACACUACAUUGAACAAAAACCAGCCUCGUGAAUUGACUAAGCACAGCCCUGUGCUCAGGACUGUCCAGUUCAUUCUAUUAAAUGACUGAGGAAAACUAGAAAAAGAAUACCAUUCAUUCUUGUCAAGGUCAAAUGUGAAAGACAGAAGUUUAUUUAAUGUAGAGGUAAAUGAAGGUCAGCUGUUUUCAGCUUCUUAAUUUGACCAUGAAAAUGUUUAUAGAAUUAUGUGUAGUUGUACCGUACGAUUUUAUUUUCUUCAUUUAUUUAUUUACGGUCUUAUUUAUGUUCUGUUUUAAUAUAUAGUUCGGUUCUGGCCAUUUUAAAUGUUUGACAUAGAAGAGGCUAUAUUGGAAUAUUCACAGCUUUAUAAAUCAUCAGAUUCGCUGUUAACUUUUUGUAAUACAAAAAGUUUCAGACAAGUAUAAAAGAAUAAAAUCUGUCUCAGGCUGGUAGUUAACGGUUGUGACCAAGAUGCUUUCGGUUUUAUUUUACAAAAUUUGCUCAUUUCUAACAUGAAACAUCGACUUAUUUUAAUAUAAUCCUUUUCCACACUUUAAAAAUCAGCAGUUGUGUUAUCUAUUUAUAGGCAGCUUUUAACAAUCCUGUUAUAUUUAUACUAACCCAAAUGAUUCACAGUGACAAAACAUUUUAAUAACUUGAUCACAAAACCAUAUGGUCAAUAUGAAUUUUAAUAUUAUAAAUACUAUUUUUAAAGGUAGAAUUUAUUCUGCACAGGGUAAAAAGAAUGUAAUAUUUAGUUCUCAAGUUUGAAUUAUCAGUAUAUUAUUAUAAUUUUGUAUAUCAGAAUCUAAGCAUUACAGGUACAAAAAGAAUUUUGCUAGCCAAAUGAACAAAGUUUAGCUGAAUCUCUGUAGCAUGCAAAUCAAAUAAAUUUAAAAUCUUUUUUUGCUAUUACUUUAUCUAUAUUGUAUUAAAUAUCAAAAGCUCAGGACUGAACUAAAUAUUUAAUCAGGUUAAAUUCUGAAUAUGUUUCUGUUUUAAUUUGUCCUGUUUGUAAAAGUGUGCAAAUACAUCACAUAGAUUAACUUUG